AUUGAAUAAACUUGAACAGGCUGUUGCUGGUCCCUCUUCAGGGACACAUGUGCACGCUUGUCAUCUUUAUCUCUCCUCAUGUGCACAUUUUGUAGACCCUGGUGUUUGAGGAUUGCUUAUUUGCUCUCCUUGUUUGGGUUAUAUCCCAGGUCUAUGUUAUUUUUCACAAUCUCUUUGAAAUGUAUUGGAAUGUUAAUAAUAAUAAAAAGUUGAUACAACUUUCAGCAACGGAUCUCUUGGCUCUCGCAUCGAUGAAGAACGCAGCGAAAUGCGAUAAGUAAUGUGAAUUGCAGAAUUCAGUGAAUCAUCGAAUCUUUGAACGCAUCUUGCGCUCCUUGGUACUCUGAGGAGCAUGCCUGUUUGAGUGUCAUUAAAUUCUCUCAACCACACAAUAUGUUGUUGUGGCUUGGAUAUGGAGGUGUGCAGGCUUUUUUCAAGUUGAGCUCCUCUGAAAUAUAUAAGUAGUGGUCAGAGAAACUACAGAUGUGAUAAAUUAUCUACAUCUUAGUGUAUGCGCUGCUUCCAACCAAU
rnacentral:rRNA from 1 species